GGGGGGGGGGGGGGGGGGGCUUGGCACGGGCGAGGCGAACGGGCUCUUCGGGGUGGGGGGCGGACGGGGGGGUGACGGGUGGGAAUGUGGCUUUGGGUCCGGGACCACCGCUUGGAACGGUGGCUGGUGCUGGAUGUGCCGAGGGGUGAAAGGUAAAUUGCCUGAAGAUGAGCUCGCCUCUGGUUAGCUAGUGUGGGGGGUAAAGGCUCUCCAAUGCAGCGCUCAGUAGCUGGUCUGAGAGCAUGAGCAGACACUGCGGGACAGCGAAACGCCCGAGCCUGCUACGGGAGGAAGCAGGGGGGAAUUUUCCGCAAUGGGCGAAAGCCUGCCGGAGCAAUACCGCGUGAGGGAAGAAGGCUCGUGGGUUGUAAACCUAUUUUCUUAGGGAAGAACAAAAUGACGGUAACUAAGGAAUCAGCACCGGCUAACUCCGUG
rnacentral:rRNA from 1 species